CAGGUGCCGUGAUUCUGCUCCAAGUUCCAAGCAGAGGAAGGCGGGCAAGCGGGAGCCAUGCAGUCAGAAUCUGGGAUCGUGGCGGAUUUCGAAGUCGGGGAGGAUUUCACGAAGAACCCAAAACCUAUUACGAACUCAAAAGUCAACCUCUGAAGAGCAGCAGUUCUGCAGUGCA